rnacentral:rRNA from 1 species
GACAGAGGGUGCAAACGUUGCUCGGAAUCACUGGGCGUAAAGGGCGUGUAGGCGGAUCGGCAAGUCGGGCGUGAAAUCCCUGGGCUCAACCCAGGAACUGCACUCGAAACUGCCUUUCUUGAGUGCCGGAGAGGAAAGCGGAAUACCUGGUGUAGAGGUGAAAUUCGUAGAUAUCAGGUGGAACACCAGUGGCGAAGGCGGGCUUCUGG